UACGUAGGAGACGAGCGUUGUCCGGAAUUACUGGGCGUAAAGCGCGUGUAGGCGGAUGAGCAAGUCUGCUGUGAAAGCUCCUGGCUUAACCGGGAGUGGUCGGUGGAAACUGCUCGUCUGGAGGACGGUAGAGGUAGGUAGAAUUCCCGGUGUAGUGGUGAAAUGCGUAGAGAUCGGGAGGAAUACCUGUGGCGAAGGCGGCCUACUGGGCCGGACCUGACGCUGAGACGCGAAGGCGUGGGGAGCGAACAGG
rnacentral:rRNA from 1 species